UACGAAGGGGGCUAGCGUUGUUCGGAAUUACUGGGCGUAAAGCGCACGUAGGCGGAUUGUUAAGUUAGGGGUGAAAUCCCCAGGGCUCAACCCUGGAACUGCCUUUAAUACUGGCAAUCUCGAGUCCGAGAGAGGUGAGUGGAAUUCCGAGUGUAGAGGUGAAAUCGUAGAUAUUCGGAGGAACACCAGUGGCGAAGGCGGCUCACUGGCUCGGUACUGACGCUGAGGUGCGAAAGCGUGGGGGAGCAAACAGGG
rnacentral:rRNA from 1 species